AAUACCUAUAUGAUACCUAGCCGUUAAGAAACUUAAUGGAUAGUCAAACUGAAGCCAAGGGAAGGAAAUCUCCAUUGUUACUAUCAUGGUUCCUGUCCCACUAUGUCUUUCCACAAUCUCCAAAGUUUCCCGGAGAACUGACAAUGCCCCGCAGAGUCAACCUAUCUACCCUCAAUGUACACACUGCUGUAUGCUUCUUAUGAAAGAUAACCACGAGCCCUACUACUGAGGCUUCUGUUCGUUAGCUUAUCCCAAGAAUUUUGCUGCUACGAUGGCAGCUAUCUACACUGAACACUAAAGAAAAUGAGACCCAUGUUUUCCCUUCAUAUACAAGAUGCACUAGCAGCUACAAAAAUGAAGAUUGUUCCUAAAAGUCCCUAGCAUGACUAUGUGAUGAAAGACUAUGAAAAUGAAAGGCACCUUCUAGACGGCAGUAUCUCUAUGAACACUACCCUGAACUAAGACUGAAACCUGAAGAAAUGUAUUUAAGACCUUAGUUAUUGAAUAAUAAAGUUAAUAUUUGUCUUUUUAUUUCAAAA